AGCCGUAGCGAGCGCGGGAAAACACCUCCACAGCCGACUCUGUUUUUCACGGCGGGCGGCGCCUCCACCUCGCGCGCGGGGGCAGGGUGGGAGUGGAAGUCUCCAGCCUCCCCGACAGCUCCGGAGCACGCACGGUUUUUUUGUACGAGACGUGGCAUUUUGAGAGGAUAGUCGGAUACAAGGUUUUGAAUGCAAAGAGCAACUGUGUUUGUGCAAUUAUUCUGCAGGAUGCAUUAGGGCCCACACUUAGUAAAUCAUGUUUAAGUUUUGGUGUGAUUUUAUCUCAGCUGUGGUUGGUGUGAAUUCAGUGGUCUUGCUGUUCUUAGUUUCUCAGCUUGUGGUAUCACUCCAUUUUGUUCAGCUUUUAUCAAGACAAUUUUUUUUUAAAAAAAAAGGAAUCAUUGAUAUGUA